rnacentral:rRNA from 1 species
GAUGAACGCUGGCGGCGUGCCUAAUACAUGCAAGUCGAGCGAACAGAUGAGGAGCUUGCUCCUCUGACGUUAGCGGCGGACGGGUGAGUAACACGUGGAUAACCUACCUAUAAGACUGGGAUAACUUCGGGAAACCGGAGCUAAUACCGGAUAAUAUAUUGAACCGCAUGGUUCAAUAGUGAAAGACGGUUUUGCUGUCACUUAUAGAUGGAUCCGCGCCGCAUUAGCUAGUUGGUAAGGUAACGGCUUACCAAGGCAACGAUGCGUAGCCGACCUGAGAGGGUGAUCGGCCACACUGGAACUGGGACACGGUCCAGACUCCUACGGGAGGCAGCAGUAGGGAAUCUUCCGCAGUAGGCGAAAGCAUGACGGAGCAACGCCGAGUGAGUGAUGAAGGUCUUCGGAUCGUAAAACUCUGUUAUUAGGGAAGAACAAAUGUGUAAGUAACUAUGCACGUCGUGACGGUACCUAAUCAGAAAGCCACGGCUAACUACGUG